rnacentral:rRNA from 1 species
UACGUAGGGCGCAAGCGUUAUCCGGAAUCAUUGGGCGUAAAGAGCUUGUAGGCGGUUCGUCGCGUCUGGUGUGAAAGCCCAUCGCUUAACGGUGGGUCUGCGCCGGGUACGGGCGGGCUAGAGUGCAGUAGGGGAGACUGGAAUUCCCGGUGUAACGGUGGAAUGUGUAGAUAUCGGGAAGAACACCAAUGGCGAAGGCAGGUCUCUGGGCUGUUACUGACGCUGAGAAGCGAAAGCGUGGGGAGCGGACAGGAUUAGAUACCCUGGUAGUCAAGGGCGAAUUCGUU